rnacentral:lncRNA from 1 species
AGAGGGAAAGCACUCUGGAGUCCUGCGAGGAAAAAUGGUCUGCGGACCAACAAGAGUCGCGGCGGCGCAGCCGGCGGCGAGAAUCCGGAGGAGCAGGAGGAGACGGCAAGGAUAGGCCCAGG